rnacentral:rRNA from 1 species
GACGAACGCUGGCGGCGUGCUUAACACAUGCAAGUCGAACGGAAAGGCCCUGCUCUUGUGGGGUGCUCGAGUGGCGAACGGGUGAGUAACACGUGAGUAACCUGCCCUUGUCUUUGGGAUAACUUCAGGAAACAGGGGCUAAUACCGGAUAGGAGCUCCUGCUGCACGGUGGGCGUUGGAAAGAUUCGGCGGUUGGGGAUGGAUUCGCGGCUUAUCAGCUUGUUGGUGGGGUAGUGGCUUACCAAGGUUUUGACGGGUAGCCGGCAUGGGAGGGUGACCGGCGACAAUAGGACUAAGGUAGGGACCAGACUGCAACGGGAGGCAGCGGGGGGGAAUAUUGCAGAAUAGGCGGGAGCGUGAUGCGGCGGCGCCGCGUGCGGAAUGACGGGCUUCGGGUUAUAAACCGCUUUCGCCUGAGACGAAGCGUGAGUGACGGUAAUGAGUAAAGAAGCACCGGCUAACUACGUG